UACGUAGGCAGCGAGCGUUGUUCGGAAUUACUGGGCGUAAAGAGUGUGUAGGCGGUGCUCUAAGUUCGGUGUGAAAUCUCCUGGCUCAACUGGGAGGGUGCGCCGGAAACUGGAGUGCUUGAGCGUGGGAGAGGAAAGCGGAAUUCCCGGUGUAGCGGUGAAAUGCGUAGAGAUCGGGAGGAACACCAGUGGCGAAGGCGGCUACCUGGACCAGCACUGACACUGAGGCACGAAAGCGUGGGGAGCAAACAGG
rnacentral:rRNA from 1 species